rnacentral:lncRNA from 1 species
GUGGAAUAGACUAAAAUACUCUGAGGUUUUCUUGAGUUGCUACCGAACUAAAUAAAGCAUUUACAUAUUUAUAUUGGCAUUUCUGUUAUAAUUUUUGUUUUAUUUUUUCUAUGGGGAAACAGCCGAAGUACGUAUACUUCUAUCCUAUUGUAUUUCUUGUUCUAUUUUUCUAGAAAAAAUGGCCAAAAUAUUAUUUAUAGUAUUCCUAUUGUAUUUCUUGUUUUAUUUUUCU